rnacentral:rRNA from 1 species
UUACGGGUGGCUGCAGUGGGGAAUAUUGGACAAUGGGCGAAAGCCUGAUCCAGCCAUGCCGCGUGUGUGAAGAAGGCCUUCGGGUUGUAAAGCACUUUCAGUGGGGAAGAAAGCCUUGGGGCUAAUACCCUCGAGGAAGGACAUCACCCACAGAAGAAGCACCGGCUAACUCCGUGCCAGCAGCCGCGGUAAUACGGAGGGUGCGAGCGUUAAUCGGAAUUACUGGGCGUAAAGCGCGCGUAGGCGGUCUGAUAAGCCGGUUGUGAAAGCCCCGGGCUCAACCUGGGAACGGCAUCCGGAACUGUCAGGCUAGAGUGCAGGAGAGGAAGGUAGAAUUCCCGGUGUAGCGGUGAAAUGCGUAGAGAUCGGGAGGAAUACCAGUGGCGAAGGCGGCCUUCUGGACUGACACUGACGCUGAGGUGCGAAAGCGUGGGUAGCAAACAGGAUUAGAUACCCUAGUAGUC